rnacentral:rRNA from 1 species
AGCGAACGCUGGCGGCAGGCCUAACACAUGCAAGUCGAACGGAUCCUUCGGGAUUAGUGGCGGACGGGUGAGGAACACGUGGGAACGUGCCCUUUGGUUCGGAACAACUCAGGGACACUUGAGCUAAUACCGGAUGUGCCCUUCGGGGGAAAGGUUUAUCGCCAUUGGAGCGGCCCGCGUAGGAUUAGCUAGUUGGUGGGGUAAAGGCUCACCAAGGCUACGAUCCUUAGCUGGUCUGAGAGGAUGAUCAGCCACAUUGGGACUGAGACACGGCCCAAACUCCUACGGGAGGCAGCAGUGGGGAAUCUUGCGCAAUGGGCGAAAGCCUGACGCAGCCAUGCCGCGUGAAUGAUGAAGGUCUUAGGAUUGUAAAAUUCUUUCACCGGGGACGAUAAUGACGGUACCCGGAGAAGAAGCCCCGGCUAACUUCGUGCCAGCCGCCGCGGUAAGAC